CUGAACUGUCAACACGAGUUGUUGCUGGCCCUCAAAUGGGGACAUGUGCACGCUCUGUUUACACAUCCACUCACACCUGUGCACCCUCUGUAGUUCUAUGGCGUGGGGGGCCCUGCCCUCCUGCUGUGGUUCUAUGUCUUUACACACACGCCGUAACAAAGUCUCAAUGGAAUGCAUGACGCGUUUAACGCAAUACAAUA
rnacentral:misc_RNA from 1 species